GGGCGAAUGGUUUAGUGGUAUAAUACUCCCUUAGCAUGUGUUAGGCAACUGACAUAACGCCUGGGAGUGGUCCGGGGUUCGAUUCCCCGUUUGUCCA